rnacentral:misc_RNA from 1 species
AGGAACAGCAGUUUCCCUCUUGCGUCCGCUCAUAACUUAGCAGGCUUGGGGAAGAUGUCGGGAGUGAAUUUCUGUGCCGCGGCGAUGCUGCCCUUGAUUUUCAGAGCACCCCUCAAGAAAGCAAUCUGAGGAUUCAGCUUCCCCAAAGCAAUUUUAACGAAAUCUUCGUCCUUGAAGGAUAAGGUAGCGUCUGGCUUUCCUCCUUCAUAUGGACCUUUGGUAACUUCCCCUUUCUUGAGAUCAAUGGUAUAAACCACCUCAUCAGUUCCAAUUUUCUUGGGAGAAAUAUUGAUCUGAUAAACAUGGCCGACUUUCUUGAGGAUCUCUUUUCCAGCAUCGGUGGUGAGAUACUGCUUCAUCUGCUCCAAAAGAGCAUCGGAUUUGAGGGGAGAAUCAGCGGAGUUCGCCAUUGGCAACGACGUGAGAGCAAAACUUGGAGAGAGAGAGAUGGAGGAAAAU